UCCCUGGUGGUCCAGUGGUUAAGACUCAGCACUUGCACUGCAUGGAACUCAGGUUCAAUCCCUGGUCAGGAAA
rnacentral:tRNA from 1 species